rnacentral:rRNA from 1 species
GACGAAGGACCCGAGCGUUAUCCGGAUUCAUUGGGUUUAAAGGGUGCGUAGGCGGAUUGAUAAGUCAGUGGUGAAAGCCUGUUGCUUAACAACAGAACUGCCAUUGAUACUGUUGAUCUUGAAUAUGUUUGAUGUGGGCGGAAUAUGACAUGUAGCGGUGAAAUGCUUAGAUAUGUCAUAGAACACCGAUUGCGAAGGCAGCUCACAAAAACCAUUAUUGACGCUGAGGCACGAAAGCGUGGGGAUCAAACAGG